rnacentral:rRNA from 1 species
GAUGAACCACCUUCGGGUGGGGAUUAGUGGCGAACGGGUGAGUAACACGUGGGCAAUCUGCCCUGCACUCUGGGACAAGCCCUGGAAACGGGGUCUAAUACCGGAUAUGAGCUUCCACCGCAUGGUGGGGGCUGUAAAGCUCCGGCGGUGCAGGAUGAGCCCGCGGCCUAUCAGCUUGUUGGUGAGGUAACGGCUCACCAAGGCGACGACGGGUAGCCGGCCUGAGAGGGCGACCGGCCACACUGGGACUGAGACACGGCCCAGACUCCUACGGGAGGCAGCAGUGGGGAAUAUUGCACAAUGGGCGCAAGCCUGAUGCAGCGACGCCGCGUGAGGGAUGACGGCCUUCGGGUUGUAAACCUCUUUCAGCAGGGAAGAAGCGAAAGUGACGGUACCUGCAGAAGAAGCGCCGGCUAACUACGUGCCAGCAGCCGCGGUAAUACGUAGGGCGCGAGCGUUGUCCGGAAUUAUUGGGCGUAAAGAGCUCGUAGGCGGCUUGUCGCGUCGGUUGUGAAAGCCCGGGGCUUAACCCCGGGUCUGCAGUCGAUACGGGCAGGCUAGAGUUCGGUAGGGGAGAUCGGAAUUCCUGGUGUAGCGGUGAAAUGCGCAGAUAUCAGGAGGAACACCGGUGGCGAAGGCGGAUCUCUGGGCCGAUACUGACGCUGAGGAGCGAAAGCGUGGGGAGCGAACAGGAUUAGAUACCCUGGUAGUCCACGCCGUAAACGGUGGGCACUAGGUGUGGGCAACAUUCCACGUUGUCCGUGCCGCAGCUAACGCAUUAAGUGCCCCGCCUGGGGAGUAC